AAGUGGAGCAAUCCAUGAGUAGAGUGGCGAACGGGUGAGUAACACGUGGGUGACCUGCCUUCGAGUGGGGGAUAACGUCCCGAAAGGGACGCUAAUACCGCAUGACAUCCUGCCUUUGAAGAGGCGGUGAUUAAAGCUGGGGAUCGCAAGACCUGGCGCUUGAAGAGGGGCCCGCGUCCGAUUAGCUAGUUGGUGGGGUAAUGGCCUACCAAGGCGACGAUCGGUAGCCGGCCUGAGAGGGCGGACGGCCACACUGGGACUGAGACACGGCCCAGACUCCUACGGGAGGCAGCAGUGGGGAAUUGUUCGCAAUGGGCGCAAGCCUGACGACGCAACGCCGCGUGGAGGAUGAAGAAUUUCGGU
rnacentral:rRNA from 1 species